GGGGAAUAUUGGACAAUGGACCGAGAGUCUGAUCCAGCAAUUCUGUGUGCACGAUGAAGUUUUUCGGAAUGUAAAGUGCUUUCAGUUGGGAAGAAAAAAAUGACGGUACCAACAGAAGAAGUGACGGCUAAAUACGUGCCAGCAGCCGCGGUAAUACGUAUGUCACAAGCGUUAUCCGGAUUUAUUGGGCGUAAAGCGCGUCUAGGCGGCUAUGUAAGUCUGAUGUGAAAAUGCGGGGCUCAACUCCGUAUUGCGUUGGAAACUGUGUAGCUAGAGUAUCGGAGAGGUAAGCGGAACUACAAGUGUAGAGGUGAAAUUCGUAGAUAUUUGUAGGAAUGCCGAUGGGGAAGCCAGCUUACUGGACGAAUACUGACGCUAAAGCGCGAAAGCGUGGGUAGCAAACAGGAUUAGAUACCCUGGUAGUCCACGCCGUAAACGAUGAUUACUAGGUGUUGGGGGUCGAACCUCAGCGCCCAAGCUAACGCGAUAAGUAAUCCGCCUGGGGAGUACGUACGCAAGUAUG
rnacentral:rRNA from 1 species